rnacentral:rRNA from 1 species
AUACGUAGGGGGCGAGCGUUGUCCGGAAUGAUUGGGCGUAAAGGGCGCGUAGGCGGCCCGGUAAGUCUGGAGUGAAAGUCCUGUUUUUAAGAUGGGAAUUGCUUUGGAUACUGUCGGGCUUGAGUGCAGGAGAGGUAAGUGGAAUUCCCAGUGUAGCGGUGAAAUGCGUAGAGAUUGGGAGGAACACCAAUGGCGAAGGCGACUUACUGGACUGUAACUGACGCUGAGGCGCGAAAGUGUGGGGAGCAAACAGGAUUAGAUACCCUGGUAGUCCACACUGUAAACGAUGAAUGCUAGGUGUAAGAGGUAUCGACCCCUUUUGUGCCGGAGUCAACACAAUAAGCAUUCCGCCUGGGGAGUACGGCCGCAAGGUUGAAACUCAAAGGAAUUGACGGGG